rnacentral:rRNA from 1 species
CUGCUGCCUUCCGUAGGAGUCUGGCCGUGUCUCAGUCCAGUGUGGGGGGCCUUCCUCUCAGAACCCCUACGCAUCGUCGUCG